ACUUUAACAUGUUAUGAAAAAUCAGAAUUUCAUUCUCAUUUCUUUAUUUCUUUCUCCAGCAACACCGAAGGGUUCUUCAAACAGAACUGGUAACAGCCUGGAGUACAGAGCAUCUUGGAAGUCCCCUUUAUCAACCAGUGUGGGGGAAAAAAGUCACUCAGCAAACAUGGUAUGAACAAAGAAUGUGAAUUCUGCACUUCUGCUACAGUUUGUUUCGCAGCUGUGCUUUGGGGAAGGGUUCUACUGGCACUCCUUGGCACACAAGGCAACGAGGAAGAGACAACGGCUGUUAGGACCAGGCUUUAUCACUCUGGUUCUGAAACCACCUUCAGCAGCAUUUCAGAGACACAUGGCCUUGUCAGUUUGUAUUUUAGGAAACCAUGUGGUAGGUUCUUAUAAAUAGGUAGAGCUGCUUCCAGCAAUAAGGAUUUCCUUCAUCCGCCACUUAGAAGUUGCAAAGACUGAUCUGAAGGCCACAGAAAGGAAGAGGAUGCAAUUGUGUUGUAAAGAGACCACAGAAAGAUAAAAGCUCAGACUGAAAAUUCAGGUUGAGAUUUUGGUCACCUGAUAGAUGAAUGUUAAGCUAGUGGCAGAUAGUGUUUCAUAUAAAUGCUGUUCGUGAUUUUCAGUGUUCAAACUCUGACAUGAAAUUAAGAAGAAGAACA
rnacentral:lncRNA from 1 species